UCUCCGUUGGUGAACCAGCGGAGGGAUCAUUACCGAGUUUACAACUCCCAAACCCAAUGUGAACCAUACCAAACUGUUGCCUCGGCGGGGUCACGCCCCGGGUGCGUCGCAGCCCCGGAACCAGGCGCACGCCGGAGGGACCAACCAAACUCUUUCUGUAGUCCCCUCGCGGACGUUAUUUUUACAGCUCUGAGCAAAAAUUCAAAAUGAAUCAAAACUUUCAACAACGGAUCUCUUGGUUCUG
rnacentral:misc_RNA from 1 species